rnacentral:tRNA from 1 species
AGCUUAAGAAAGCAUCAGACUUUUAAUCUGAAGUUCCAGAGUUUAAAACUCUG